UACAGAGGUGGCAAGCGUUGUUCGGAAUUACUGGGCGUAAAGGGCGCGUAGGCGGCCUACUAAGUCAGACGUGAAAUCCCCAGGCUUAACUUGGGAACUGCGUCUGAUACUGGAAGGCUUGAGUGCGGGAGAGGGAUGUGGAAUUCCAGGUGUAGCGGUGAAAUGCGUAGAUAUCUGGAGGAACACCGGUGGCGAAGGCGGCAUCCUGGACCGACACUGACGCUGAGGCGCGAAAGCCAGGGGAGCGAACGGG
rnacentral:rRNA from 1 species